rnacentral:rRNA from 1 species
GAGAAUUUUUCACAAUGGGCGAAAGCCUGAUGCAGCAACGCCGCGUGAGCGAUGAAGGCCUUCGGGUCGUAAAGCUCUGUCCUCAAGGAAGAUAAUGACGGUACUUGAGGAGGAAGCCCCGGCUAACUACGUGCCAGCAGCCGCGGUAAUACGUAGUGGGCUAGCGUUAUCCGGAAUUACUGGGCGUAAAGGGUGCGUAGGUGGUUUCUUAAGUCAGAGGUGAAAGGCUACGGCUCAACCGUAGUAAGCCUUUGAAACUGGGAAACUUGAGUGCAGGAGAGGAGAGUGGAAUUCCUAGUGUAGCGGUGAAAUGCGUAGAUAUUAGGAGGAACGCCAGUUGCGAAGGCGGCUCUCUGGACUGUAACUGACACUGAGGCACGAAAGCGUGGGGAGCAAACA